GGCUUGGCAGUCGCUGUGGACAGGGCAAGGGUUGAAUAGACACCAAGAACAAAAGUAGGUUCUCUCUGUGGAACAACUCUGUGAAUGGAAAGGGUGGGAAAGGUCAGCCUGCUGCUUUCUGCCCUGAAUCCACUCCGGAAGAAAGGACUUCUGCCUGGCAUCUCUUCCAGAGGACACAGCGGAAAAGUAAUCUUACUAGGAGACAGGGUCUCACUAUAGUGCUCAGGCUGACCUCAACUCCCAAGUAAUCCUGCUACCCCGGGUGGAAUUAAAGGCACAAAAACAAGCCUUAACCCAGUGUGAGGAAUGCCAGCAAUGCUUUCCUUUCCUGAGAAGUUCAGCCUGGAAUACCCUCAGUUCCUGUCAUUCCUGUGGCUCUCCUGC